CCCCUUUUUCAGGCCAACCUCUCAUCUAAAUCUUGCAACAAAAAAUCGGAAAAUUCAUCUUUGAAGCAUUCCAUUCAAUUCUGGGAAGAAUGAUUUCACUAGAUAACCUAAAACACGGCGUUUUAGGUUUUUCAAUUCAAAUUGUUCGUCGUUGUGUUUUCGAUUCUUUAAUUGAAAACAUUUUUUUCAGUAUUGAAUGAGAUACUAAGGAAACAAUUUUUUUUUUUCAUUUUUUGCUAAAAUUAUUGUUGGCCUUUAUUGGGCAUGAUAUAGUUUGUGUAUGUGUAACUGUAGUUAUAAGUCAAAAUGAAGGAGAAAAUAAGGCAGAAAAGAAACGAGUUGCCUCGCAUAUCAAUUUCUCAGAUUGCAAGCCCCCGUUGAUUAUUCUUUGCUUGACGGUGACGAACCGAAAACCUUGAGUGCAUCUGAGCUUGAAGCCUUUAGGAAGGCAGCUCUAAAUGUGAUAAAAAAUCACACACCCGAGGAAGCAUCGAGAAUAUUCUUAGGGAAAAUGGAGAGUUCCUCUACUAUAACAAAUAAAGUAGAGUCAUGCAACAAGAGGUGAUCAUUGGAGGACCAAAAAUAAAUUUGAUCAUAGAAUUUUAUUGAUUGUUAUUGCAGAAAAUUGAAAUUUCUCCAACUAUAUAUAAUAGUAAUGAAUAAAGUAUAAUUCUGCGACAACAAGUGAUAAUUGGAUGAGCAAAAAUAUUAGAGCAGCCGAUCUGCACCAUAUACUUUGUAAUAUUGUGUUGAUCUUAAUAAUAUGCUUGUAUUUUUUGGUUGGGUUUA